CCGGCCCGGCCUAUGAUUUCACCAUCCUUCUCUGCCAUCGACCGGCCACGCUCCCGCUCCGCACACCGCCGCCGCCGACGACGACCGCCGCGCUCCUCCACCUGGUGAUCCCAGGUUAGCGAUCUGUACGCAGUACCCAGGUAUGCUUCGUUCUCUGUUCGGGCCAUCUUUCUGCCUCUCCAAACCCCUCUCCGGACAGACGGAUCGGAGGGCUAAUACAGAAGGAGAAGGGGGGCAAUGCGUGACGGAGAUGGGGAAAUCUGGUUUUGGGGAAUAGGUGUAGGUGGCGGCGGAGAGGGUGAUAGCGAUGAUCAGUAUCUAGGAUUUCCAGUUCGACGGGGAGAUGCAGCCUUUUCAGAAGAUGUAAACUUUGCCUGUGCGAAGACUGGAGCCAGAAAGACACACAGCAUAUGAUAUCUGUUAUGAAUAAUUCGGAUGCCUUGAAACGCCUUUAUGUAAGUUUCUCGAGAUACCAAGUUGGUUUUAUUUAUCUUUUUAAAUUA